CCUGGCGGCACUAGCGCGGUGGUCCCACCUGACCCCAUGCCGAACUCAGAAGUGAAACGCCGUAGCGCCGAUGGUAGUGUGGGGUCUCCCCAUGCGAGAGUAGG
rnacentral:rRNA from 6 species